GAUGAACGCUGGCGGCGUGCUUAACACAUGCAAGUCGAACGAUGAGGCCCAGCUUGCUGGGUGGAUUAGUGGCGAACGGGUGAGUAACACGUGAGUAACCUGCCCUUGACUCUGGGAUAAGCCUGGGAAACUGGGUCUAAUACCGGAUACGACCAUUGCCCGCAUGGGUUGGUGGUGGAAAGCUUUUGUGGUUUUGGAUGGACUCGCGGCUUAUCAGCUUGUUGGUGAGGUAAUGGCUCACCAAGGCGGCGACGGGUAGCCGGCCUGAGAGGGUGGCCGGCCACACGGCGACUGAGGGAGGGCCCAGUCGGCAACGGGGGGCAACGGGGGGGAAUAUUGCACAGUGGGGCAGCGCGUAGGGUGGCGGCCUCCGGGUUGGGAACAGCUCCUUCGGGGUGUAAACCUCUUUCAGUAGGGAAGGAGCGGGAAUGACGGUACCUGAAGAAGAAGCGCCGGCUAACUACGUG
rnacentral:rRNA from 1 species